rnacentral:tRNA from 1 species
UGCAACUCAGUUGGCAGAGUGCCUGCUUCACAUGCAGGAAGCCCUGGGUUCUAUCCCCAGCA